GACGAACGCUGGCGGCGUGCCUAACACAUGCAAGUCGAACGGAAAGGCCCUGCUCUUGCGCGGUGCUCGUGUGUCGCGCACGUGAGUAUCACGCGUGUAACCUCCCCCUGACAUUGGGAUAACACUAGGAAACUCGGUCUCUAACCCGAUAGGAGCUCCUGCGGCACGGUUGGGGUUGGAAAGUUGCGGCAUUUCGGGAUGGAGUCGCGGUCUAUCAGCUUGUUGGUGAGGUAGUGGCUUACCAAGGCGUUGACGGGUAGCCAGACUGAGAGGGUGACCGGGCACAGUGGGACUGAGAGAGGAGCCAGACUCAUACUGGAGGCAGCAGUGGGGACUAGUGCGCAAAAGGCCGCAUGCGGAUGCAACGACGUCGCGUGCGGGAUGACUGCCGUCGGGUUGUAAACCGCUUUCGCCUGUAACGAACCGUGAGUGACGGUAAUUUAUCAGAAAGCAACGGCUAACUACGUG
rnacentral:rRNA from 1 species